GAAAGAACAACAGAGUUAUACAUUUUCCGUAACCCACCGUUCCAUGCUCUGAAUUAGUUCUUGUACAGGCAGCUUCUCAAUAUCUUGUUU
rnacentral:tRNA from 1 species